GAUAUUACUCUAGGUGAAAUAUUAUUUUUUCAAUUUCAAAGGGCAAAAGAUCUCUCUCCUCCCUAAAAUCUCUAUGGAUACAUUAGUUUAGGGUUUUUGGCUUCAAUACUACGUACUGACGAAUCUCCACCCUACUUUGGGUAGUGUUUUUGUUUUCAAACUAUUGUCUCAAAAGAAGAAUUCUCGUUUCCCCUUUCUCUUAGGUACUAUUUUGCACCUUCUCACCUUCCUCGUUCCGGCUGAUUGAAGAAAUAAAUAAAACUAGAGAAACGGGAAUUCUUUCAAUCUCAGGUGACACUAUUGUUGUUACAAGAAAAUUAGUGCCGACAAGGUGGUAAUGUCUAUUGGGAAUAUAUUGUUCCUGCAACUUCUCAGCAGUCUUAUAAAUGGCCUGAAACUGGAUUCAUUUCACAAAAUGCAUUGAUGAGUUCUGUAGUUUUGCGCAGGUGGUGCACAUAGAAGAUAUUGGACUAACCAAUUUUAAGGAACCAAGAGAUAUUGAACAGGUAUCAUUGUUCCAUUUUAUGUUGAUGUUUGAGAUAACAACAGGCUUAGUGAUUUGAACCUUUGUCAAAAGGAUGUUUAAUAAGGUCAAAUAGAUACUUUCUGUUGGAUGUCUGUUGGUAGAAGAGGAUAAAGAGGAUUCUAUGAUCUGGAAAGCGAACAAUGAAUUGAAGUUCUCUGUUAAAAGCUGCUAUAACCUUCUUCUGAACAAUCUGAACAUCUCUAGAGUCAGGAACCUUUGUAUGCAAAAUCUGUUUUUUUGGUGUAAAAGGAGUAUUCUAGAGAGUAUUGAUCAGUAUAUGGAAUUUUUAGACUCACUUGGAAAUAUGUAACCAGAGAUUGCUGUAGGGUCUGUCUUGUUUUGUUGUAAUUUGAGUACCUUCUUGGUACCUUUAUUAAUAAAUUUUAUCUUAUCAAAAAAAGAAAAGAAAAUAUGCUACACAUUUUUUUUAAAGAGAGGAAUGAUGGCAUUUCAUUUAGAAGGACAAUAUGGAGUUUUGAGUGUGAUUUCUAUACUGUGCAAGUAAUUGAAAUUUAGUAUUGUAGUACUAGCUAUCUUUAGAGUUAAUUGUAUUCAAGAUAUGUCCAUGUUAAUUUUGUUUAGCUACUUGCUUCGUUAGUGGAGAAGAAACUUCAUUCCAUUUGGGGUAAAGGUGAUGUUGAGCAGCUAUAUUAUCUCUGUUAAUGUGAUACAUUUUGCUUCUCCUGUAUGAGCAACUAUUAUCUCUGCUAAUAUAAUAAAUACAUCUUGCUUCUGCUUAAUUUCGUUUAGCUACUUACUUGAUUAGUAGAGAAGGAACUUCGUUCUUUUGGAGUAAAGUCGAUGUUUGAGUAGCUAUAUAUUUUCUGCUAAUGUGAUAUGUUUCACUCUCCUAUUUGAGCAGCUAUUAUCUCUGCUAAUGUGAUACAUUUUGUUUCUGUUAAAUUUUUUUAGCUACUUGCUUGAUUAGUGGAGAAGGAACUUUAUUCUUUUUAGGGUAAAGUUGAUAUUUCAGCAGCUAUAUAAUCUCUGCUAAUUUAAUACAUCUUGCUUCUGCUUAAUUUUGUUUAUCUACUUACUUGAUUAGUGGAGAAUAAACUUCGUUCUUUUUGGGGUAACUAUUCCUUUCACACUGCUGGCAAAUUCAACCAUUUCCCAGCUUGAAUCUCGUUCAAUCCAUAAACACGUGCAAUUCCAUCGACCUUCUAAUAGACUUGUUGAUGUUUGAGCAGCUACAUUUUUUUUGCUAAUGCGAUACAUUUCA